rnacentral:rRNA from 1 species
GGUACUUGUACCGACUGGAUGAGCAGCGAACGGGUGAGUAACGCGUGGGGAAUCUGCCUUUGAGCGGGGGACAACAUUUGGAAACGAAUGCUAAUACCGCAUAAAAACUUUAAACACAAGUUUUAAGUUUGAAAGAUGCAAUUGCAUCACUCAAAGAUGAUCCCGCGUUGUAUUAGCUAGUUGGUGAGGUAAAGGCUCACCAAGGCGAUGAUACAUAGCCGACCUGAGAGGGUGAUCGGCCACAUUGGGACUGAGACACGGCCCAAACUCCUACGGGAGGCAGCAGUAGGGAAUCUUCGGCAAUGGACGAAAGUCUGACCGAGCAACGCCGCGUGAGUGAAGAAGGUUUUCGGAUCGUAAAACUCUGUUGGUAGAGAAGAACGUUGGUGAGAGUGGAAAGCUCAUCAAGUGACGGUAACUACCCAGAAAGGGACGGCUAACUACGUGCCAGCAGCCGCGGUAAUACGUAGGUCCCGAGCGUUGUCCGGAUUUAUUGGGCGUAAAGCGAGCGCAGGUGGUUUAUUAAGUCUGGUGUAAAAGGCAGUGGCUCAACCAUUGUAUGCAUUGGAAACUGGUAGACUUGAGUGCAGGAGAGGAGAGUGGAAUUCCAUGUGGUA